CUUCCUUCAAGGACGUCCAAUAAAAAUUGAAAUGAUAGAGAGAAGAUUAGCAAGACCCCUACACAAGGAUGACAUGCACAAAUCCUGAAAUAGUCCAAAUUUUG